AUACCAGCUCUCCGAGUGGUGUGGAUGUUUAUUGGGCCUAAAGCAUCCGUAGCUGGCUAGGUCAGUCCCUUGUCAAAUCCACCGAAUUAAUCGUUGGAUCGCGGGGGAUACUGCUUGGCUAGGGGACGAGAGAGGCAGACGGUAUUUUCGGGGUAGGGGUGAAAUCCUAUAAUCCCGGGAAGACCACCAGUGGCGAAGGCUGUCUGCUAGAACGCGCCCGACGGUGAGGGAUGAAAGCUGGGGGAGCGAACCGGAUUAGAUACCCGGGUAGUCCCAGCUGUAAACGAUGCAGACUAGGUGUUUGGACGGCCACGUGCCGUUCUAGUGCCGCAGGGAAGCUGUUAAGUCUGCCGCCUGGGGAGUACGAUCGCAAGAUUGAAACUUAAAGGAAUUGGCGGGG
rnacentral:rRNA from 1 species